UUCAUAUGUUUCACCUGUGUUUAGUUAUCACAGCCUCCUUUGUGUAUAUAGUCUCUGUUUAGUCUCUUCAGUUCAGUUUGCUUCUUCCCCAGCAUUUUCCUUGCUUCUUGUUCCAUUGCUGAGUUGUUUCCUUUUUGCUGUUUGAGUUUUGGAUUUUGCAUUUUGGAGAAAAGGACGUUGUUUGCCGACCUGCCUUAAAGAGACUGUGGCCGAUGUAAUAGAGGGGGAAGAAGAGGCAGUUCCAGGUGGUGGCGAACCAGGUGAUGGUGAAGGGGGCAUCAAACUGCUUAAAGGUCAGCUUGGCCAGCUGGGUGGAGCCUGCCCAGGAUGAGCACACACACAUCACCAUGGCGACUCCCCACAGGGCCUUCCGCACCUGCACAGUUGUGACUCGGAUGCAGCAGUGGAGCCUCCGUUUUUUGGAGUCGGACUCUGCUCCCGCCGCGCCGCCGGUCGUCUGUGCGUCCGUGGUGCCCACCACAUUCUCCCUGGUGCGUUCUUCUCCUAUAGAAGAACACGUGCAUUAAUAUCAGACUGGCAAUAAAAACACUCUGAUACUCGUUCUAUGAUCAGAAAUGUACUUAGUUAAAUAGUAGCUAAGGGAACUUUAACGCAUGCCACCACCAACAGUUCCCUUCAAUUCAGGCUGCAUCAAAUUUCACAUACUCGUUGAUAUUUGUUCACUCAAUAUGUCCAUGUAUUGUUCCCUGGUAAAUAAAAAAAAGCCCUAUCUUGCAAUUUUAUAGAAAGAGAAAGUAUCCUGGAUCUGCCCCCUUUUCUGAAUCGAUGCCAAAAUUGAAUGGAGUCUUCCUUGGCUCUUGUCCAAUCCUUCCAACAAGAUUGGUGGAUAUCCGUAUAAAAUUUAUUGUGUAAUCCUGUUUACAACAGACAAACCGGGGCGAAAACCUCCCCAACCUGCUUUUUAAAAAUAUUUGUACUUAUUGUAUUUCUGUAAGUCGUGAUGCUGUUUAUAAAAUAUAGAUUAUCUUUAUAUGUGGACUUAUGUUUGAAUAUCCUGUGUGGUAAAUCUUGACUAAAGGCUUGUACACUUUUAUCUGUGCAAGUGACUUCAGGUCA